rnacentral:rRNA from 1 species
GACGAACGCUGGCGGCAUGCCUAAUACAUGCAAGUCGAGCGAACAGAUGAAGUGCUUGCACUUCUGACGUUAGCGGCGAACGGGUGAGUAACACGUAAGGAAUCUACCUAUAAGCGGGGGAUAACAUUCGGAAACGGGUGCUAAUACCGCAUAAUAUCUUCUUCCGCAUGGAAGAAGAUUGAAAGACGGCUCUGCUGUCACUUAUAGAUGACCUUGCGGUGCAUUAGUUAGUUGGUGGGGUAAUGGCCUACCAAGACGAUGAUGCAUAGCCGACCUGAGAGGGUGAUCGGCCACAUUGGGACUGAGACACGGCCCAAACUCCUACGGGAGUCAGCAGUAGGGAAUCUUCCGCGAUGGGCGAAAGCCUGACGGAGCAAUGCCGCGUGAGUGAAGAAGGCCUUCGGGUCGUAAAACUCUGUUAUAAGAGAAGAACAAAUUGUAGAGUAACUGCUACAGUCUUGACGGUAUCUUAUCAGAAAGCCACGGCUAACUACGUGCCAGCCGCCGCUGUAA